UACGUAGGGGGCUAGCGUUGUCCGGAAUCAUUGGGCGUAAAGAGCGUGUAGGCGGCCCGGUAAGUCCGCUGUGAAAGUCGGGGGCUCAACCCUCGAAUGCCGGUGGAUACUGUCUGGCUAGAGUCCGGAAGAGGAGAGUGGAAUUCCUGGUGUAGCGGUGAAAUGCGCAGAUAUCAGGAAGAACACCUAUGGCGAAGGCAGCUCUCUGGGACGGUACUGACGCUGAGACGCGAAAGCGUGGGGAGCGAACAGG
rnacentral:rRNA from 1 species